UAAGGAAUAUUGCGCAAUGGGCGCAAGCCUGAUGCAGCAACGCCGCGUGAGGGACGACGGCCUUCGGGUUGUAAACCUCUUUUAGUAGGGAAGAAGCGAAAGUGACGGUACCUGCAGAAAAAGCACCGGCUAACUACGUGCCAGCAGCCGCGGUAAUACGUAGGGUGCAAGCGUUGUCCGGAAUUAUUGGGCGUAAAGAGCUCGUAGGCGGUUUGUCACGUCUGCUGUGAAAACCCCGAGGCUCAACCUCGGGCCUGCAGUGGGUACGGGCAGACUAGAGUGCGGUAGGGGAGAUUGGAAUUCCUGGUGUAGCGGUGGAAUGCGCAGAUAUCAGGAGGAACACCGAUGGCGAAGGCAGAUCUCUGGGCCGUAACUGACGCUGAGGAGCGAAAGCAUGGGGAGCGAACAGGAUUAGAUACCCGGGUAGUCCCUGAGCGGGCUGGCAAGGCGCAU
rnacentral:rRNA from 1 species